rnacentral:rRNA from 1 species
CGCAGCCGCGGUAAUUCCAGCUCCAAUAGCGUAUAUUAAAGUUGUUGCAGUUAAAAAGCUCGUAGUUGAAUUUCGGGGUUCCACCGUUGGUCGGGCUAUUGUCUGUACUGGCGUGUGGAAUUUCUACCUUCUGGGGAACUAUCAUGUUAUUAAUUUAGCGUGGUAGGAAACCAGGACCUUUACCUUGAAAAAUUAGAGUGUUCAAAGCAGGCUUAUGUCUGAAUACAUUAGCAUGGAAUAAUAAAAUAGGACGGUGGUCCUGUUUUGUUGGUUUCUGAAUCACCGUAAUGAUUAAUAGGGAUAGUUGGGGGCAUUAGUAUUCAAUUGUCAGAGGUGAAAUUCUUGGAUUUAUUGAAGACUAACUACUGCGAAAGCAUUUGCCAAGGAUGUUUUCAUUAAUCAAGAACGAAAGUUAGGGGAUCGAAGACGAUCAGAUACCGUCGUAGUCUUAACCAUAAACUAUGCCGACUAGGGAUCGGACGAUGUUAACUUUUCUUGACUCGUUUCGGCGCCUUACGGG